UGAAGCAAUGAUGAUGAUUGGUCUUGUCUGAGUCUUGGCUCCUGAAAACUAUAGGUCUGAAACUCUGAGGUCCAG
rfam:Pteropus alecto contig163912, whole genome shotgun sequence.